UUGGAGGGCAAGUCUGGUGCCAGCAGCCGCGGUAAUUCCAGCUCCAAUAGCGUAUAUUAAAGUUGUUGCAGUUAAAAAGCUCGUAGUUGAAUUUCGGGGUCAGUAGGUUGGUCGUGCCACCAGUACGUACUGGUCUCACUGAUUCCUCCUUCCUGAUGAGCUGUAAUGCCAUUAAUUUGGUGUUGCAGGGAAUCUGGACUGUUACUUUGAAAAAAUUACAGUGUUUAAAGCAGGCUAACGCUUGAAUACAUUAGCAUGGAAUAAUGAAAUAGGACGUUCGAUCCUAUUUUGUUGGUUUCUAGGAUUGACGUAAUGAUUAAUAGGGAUAGUUGGGGGCAUUAGUAUUCAAUUGUCAGAGGUGAAAUUCUUGGAUUUAUUGAACACUAACUACUGCGAAAGCAUUUGCCAAGGAUGUUUUCCUUAAUCAAGAACGAAAGUUAGGGGAUCGAAGACGAUCAGAUACCGUCGUAGUCUUAACCAUAAACUAUGCCGACUAGGGAUCGGAUGAUGUUAAUUUUUUAAUGACUCAUUCGGCGCCUUACGGGAAAC
rnacentral:rRNA from 1 species